rnacentral:misc_RNA from 1 species
GAUGAAGAACGUAGCGAAAUGCGAUAAGUAAUGUGAAUUGCAGAAUUCUGUGAAUCAUCGAAUCUUUGAACGCACAUUGCGCCCGCCAGUAUUCUGGCGGGCAUGCCUGUUCGAGCGUCAUUUCAACCAUCAAGCCCCCGGCUUGUGUUGGGGACCUGCGGCUGCCGCAGGCCCUGAAAACCAGUGGCGGGCUCGCUAGUCACUCCGAGCGUAGUAAUACAUCUCGCUCAGGGCGUGCUGCGGGUUCCGGCCGUUAAAAAGCCUUAUUUACCCAAGGUUGACCUCGGAUCAGGUAGGAAGACCCGCUGAACUUAAGCAUAUCAAUAAGCGGAGGA